UUUACAGAGCCUUAAUACUUUUGAGAGUUGACUUUAUAUUUGGCUCUAUCUUUGUUAGAUUCUGACUCAGAAACUGUUUGCAUAGAAUACCUAAAUGUUGAUUUUUUUUUUUUAUUUAACAGGGUAAAGAAAAAAAAAGAAAAUUAGUCAUUGCACUCUCUAGAUUCUUGCACACACUGUUGCAUAAUAGCUAUUUCUUAGUUAAUGUUUAGCUAGUAGUCUAGAUCUUUUUCAACUUAUUUUUAAGACCCAUUGAACAUUUUUUUUUAAAUAAAUAAGACAGGAAUUGUAAAGU